rnacentral:rRNA from 1 species
CCUACGGGAGGCAGCAGUUUCGAAUUAUUCACAAUGGGCGAAAGCCUGAUGGUGCGACGCCGCGUGAGGGAUGAAGGUCUUCGGAUUGUAAACCUCUGUCACCGGGGAAGAAACGCUUUGAGUUAAUAGUUCAAAGCCUGACUUAACCCGGAGAGGAAGCAGUGGCUAACUCUGUGCCAGCAGCCGCGGUAAU